AUCAUCUCCUGCCGGAUCGAUCCCACUCCCUUCUCUCCACGCGAGCCCUACGACGCACACGGUACCACAAUUCCCACGAGCCCGCAGCCUCGCAUUCGAUCCCCUGGAUCAAGGCGCUCUCCCUGCACGACCUCGAGCAACACCACCGCAUCACCAUCCCCCCGCGGUCGUGCCCCGUCAGGCCUCGUGCAAACUCGUGGAGCGCAUGAUGGGGCCUCUCGUUGCCAGCUGUAACCGCCUUCUACCUCGCCCGACCCUCCUCUGUGAUGGGAAGAGUAGCAGCAAGGCGGCGGAAGGAGACAUGCAUUAGGAGUGGAACAAGUAGCAGCGCCAACAACAAGCGACAACGGCCGAUUUGGCAGGGAGCGGAGUCUUCUCUUUCUUUUGCAGGGGACAGGGAGGGGAGUCAACAACAGGUUUUCGUGCCUCCGCUCUUGAUUGGUACAUGAUAUAUGGCUAUAUGUGAAGCUUGUCAUGAUGCGUGGGAGUAGGGCGGAUUCGUACAUGGAAGCUUUGUUCGGAUCUUCCCCAUGUGAAAACAUCCCAGGCGGAUCUGUGAGGGGUUGUGCUCAGUUUGCCCAUGCCGUACAGUUCAAGCUCCAGGGGAAAUUUCUCCUCUAUACCUGAUCCAAUAAUGUUUUUCCUUUGCCUUAUCCAAGCUUUAAAACAGUAGUUGGUGAACAAAAAAAUUGUAAGGAGAGAGAGACAAAGUGGUGGUGUAUCCUACAAUCAGAAACAUAACAAAUAGUUUAACUUUUCAUAAAGUAUGUUGUCAUUUCCAUUUGUAUUGGACAAAUUUAUCGGAACUGAUAUUACAUCCACCCUUGGUUUCAUCAUGUUUGUGUAGGCGCUACUCUUUUGCUCUCCAACUAUUUGCACUAAAAUUGCUCAACUAUACAUGUCUAUACCAUGUGUUUGAUAAAAUUCUAAGAGGAACAAUGGACUUGUUGAUAAGUUGCCUUUUCUGCUUUUAUUUUGUAGGAUUGCAUGGUUCAGACUAGAAAUUGAUCAACUGAAUUGAUUUUCUUGUGUGUUUAAUGUUUUAUAAUAACCAUUCACCAAAUUAGUAUUGGGUUUAUCAUUCUUCUGAUGCAAAUUAGAUAUAUUUGUUGAUGGAGUGACCUUUCUUACAGCAUACCACUCUAAUAUUUUUUUUAAGAUUUUAUAUUUCCAACAUUACAUGAUAUACAUGAUGUAACUAUAGGAGAGCUCAGUAGCUAUUGUUUUUUUGGCAUAUGCCAAUUUACUUCCUGGAAGGAGGGACCAAUGGUUACACAUACGCCAAUUUAUUUCCUGGAAGGAGCGACCAAUGGUUAUACCAGAAAAUCAGAAUAGCAGCGAGUUGAUAGAAGCUAUUAUACUAAAGUAAAGUUGUACUUCAGAAGAGGUGCCUGCUGUUUAUUGCCUCUAAAGUGAUAGAUAUUUGACAAGAAGAAGGCUUCUAACAAAGGAGUAGGUACCUGAUUUAAGAGAUAUUUUUUGUUUGUAGUUUAUAACUUUGUGUCUGGUGAAUAUGACUUGGGCUCUUGGACACUAUACCCUUUUGCAUUUGCUGGGAAACUAUAAAAUCAAAAAUUCCUUAUGGACAUUGCAAAAGUUAUGGCUGUGUCCUAGAAGUCUAGAACACACUGGGACUAUUGAAAUAACGUUCUGAAAACCAGUAGGGCUUAGGGACGGAAGAUCAUGCUUGUUAUUCAAAGCCCCCGUAGCCCAGUUUCCCACAUGGGUCAUGCUUCGCAUAUUGCCGACAUCUUUGUGUUUUCUUAAUUUUAUAGGGGCAAACAUGCUAUUUCACAUCAUCUCUCUAAGAUUUUAGAAUGAGAAAACUUUAAUCUGUUAAGUGUGUUCCAGUCCCCGUAGCCCAGUUUCCCACACAAGUCAUGCUUCACAUAUUGCCCACAUCUUUGCUUUUUCUUAAUUUUAUAGGGGAAAACAUGCUAUUUCACAUCAGCUCUCUAAGAUUUUAGAAUAAGAAAAUUUUAAUCUGUUAAGUGUGUUCCAGAAAAUUAGAAUUACUUCUCAUCGGCCAUGAGAAAUUAUUGAUUAGUGCAGUGUCAACCAAUACUAGCCAUGUGCAGUACCAAAUGUUCAAUUUUGCCUAAUUAUUACGCUUGCUUCAAUGUUUUUUAGGAAAUUGUUUUGGUUCUCACUAAAGAAAGAACUUGAAUUUGUUGCAAAGAUUGGCAACCGGUGUAACACGAGAACAUCUAAGUAAUUAGUUUGAUGUUACUUCUCUCAAGAUAAUUUAUGAAGUUAAGUCCUGCUUGUUGACUAUGAACUAAUACCAUGAGCAGCUGAACACUAUAAUAUCCUCAUUGCAUUGUUGACUGGCUAUUAUCCCUUUUCUCUUGCAAACAGGUCAGCUCAUCCUGUUUGUGAUGGAAUUACAUAUAGCAGUACUGUUUCGUUUGAAAGAAUAGAAUUGUUUCAUGUAUUGUAAUGUAUACGAGUAGACUUAUGUCAUGUCAAAAUAGAUUUUUCCAAGCUAUGAUGUGUGUACCUAUUAAUGCAUAUGCUAACAGACUUCUAUUUUUUUCCACAUUUUUUUCAUUUCCUAAAGUGGCGACAGGAAUGAUCUGCAAUUUAAAGAUUAUCUAUAUAGACCUCAUGGACAACCUAUUGCUAUAGGAUAUCUAUACAAUUUAUGUUAAAAGUUGCUCCAUUUUUUCUUAUUAAAAAUUAGAUAACUUAGAAAAAACAUUUGGUGGAUCUUAAGAUUUGUGCGGUGAUGUGAAAUUUUCUGAAUAUCAAAUUUUGUUGUGUACAUCGUGCACUAUUUCUAAAUAAGAUAUAUAAUACACCAUCAUCUCUCACAAUAUAUGAGGACCAUGAAGUUUUGAAAAUGUGAGGUCAUUUCCUUUUGGGACUUCUAAAUUGAAGCAAUGCUAGAGUAAGGGGGUGAAGAGAAUACUACUAAUAAAAUAAAUAAAUAAUGAAUGAUUUAGUUACGAGGAAAUUCACCAAAAAGGAAAUAAAAAAAAUCUUCCCACUCGACUAAAAUGUAUAUAAUCGAUGGAAGUGCGGUCGUGAGAAUGAAGGUGAAGGGGCAAGAGGGACUGGGAGAAAGAUGUCCUUUUGUUUCUUGCAACAAGAAAUGGAGUUGAAGAGAGAAUCAAUUUUUUACUUACAUGUAUAAGUAAACAAUGUGUCAUUGUUUUCAACAUACAUUUCUGAAUUUAAAUAAUUGUUUGAUCACAUUAACUUCUUUUAUUCCGUGGCAGCGUAUGGAUAAUCAAGCCAUGACUCUGGAAUGGACAAUGCAAGUUAUGUCUCUCUUCACUUUAUUAUCUAAUUCUCCGUGUCACGCAUUUAGCCCAUUCAUUUUUCAGUAUUAUCAUCCGUAGCAACACACGAGCAUUUAUCAGUAUUAUCAUCUCUUAUACAUAUUUGUUUCACUCAGGGCACAUUAUAAUUUAGUUAUAACAUAGAUUUCAUUUAUCAUGUAAAUUGUACCAUCAGUAUGGAUCUUAACGUUUGCUUCGUUUUCAACAUUUUUUGUGGUUUUGUUUGCAGAUUUUGAAUGUUAUUGAGUACUCCAUUCGCAAAUAUAAGAUGUUCCAAGAUUCUUUCUUAUUAGGAUAUAUAGCCAUGUUUUAGCGUGUUUUUUUCACUCAUUUCCGUUUGUAUGUAGUCCAUUUUAAAAUAUUUAAAAAACUAAUAUUUGUUAAUGGAGGAGGCAUAAUGGAGAUCU